AGAGUUUGAUCAUGGCUCAGGAUGAACGCUGGCGGCGUGCUUAACACAUGCAAGUCGAACGAGGUCCAUGGAGCUUGCUCCGGAAGAUCUAGUGGCGAACGGGUGCAUAACACGUGAGAAACCUGCCUCAGUCUCUGGGAUAACAGUUGGAAACGACUGCUAAUACCGGAUGCCGUCACACCAUCACAUGGUGGAGUGACGAAAGAUUUAUCGGAUUGAGAGGGUCUCGCGGCCUAUCAGCUAGUUGGAGAGGUAACGGCCCACCAAGGCAUGGACGGGUAGCUGGUCUGAGAGGAUGAUCAGCCACACUGGGACUGAGACACGGCCCAGACUCCUACGGGAGGCAGCAGUGGGGAAUCUUGCACAAUGGGCGAAAGCCUGAUGCAGCAACGCCGCGUGCGGGAAGAAGGCCCUAGGGUUGUAAACCGCUUUCAGUAGGGAAGAAAAUGACGGUACCUACAGAAGAAGGUGCGGCCAACUACGUGCCAGCAGCCGCGGUGACACGUAGGCACCAAGCGUUAUCCGGAUUUAUUGGGCGUAAAGAGCUCGUAGGCGGUUCGGUAAGUCGGGUGUGAAAACUCUGGGCUCAACCCAGAGAGGCCACCCGAUACUGCUGUGACUAGAGUGCGGUAGGGGAGCGGGGAAUUCCUGGUGUAGCGGUGAAAUGCUUAGAUAUGACAUAGAACACCUAUUGCGAAGGCAGCUUACUACGCAGAGAUUGACGCUCAUGCACGAAAGCGUGGGGAUCAAACAGGAUUAGAUACCCUAGUAGUCC
rnacentral:rRNA from 1 species